UACAGGGGGUGCAAACGUUGCUCGGAAUUAUUGGGCGUAAAGCGCGCGUAGGCGGCUACUUAAGUCGGAUGUGAAAGCCCUUGGCUUAACUGAGGAAGUGCAUCCGAAACUGGCAGGCUAGAGUACUAAAGAGGGUCGCGGAAUUCCCGGUGUAGAGGUGAAAUUCGUAGAUAUCGGGAGGAACACCGGUGGCGAAGGCGGCGACCUGGGUAGAUACUGACGCUGAGGUGCGAAAGCGUGGGGAGCAAACAGG
rnacentral:rRNA from 1 species